UACGUAGGGAGCAAGCGUUGUCCGGAUUUACUGGGCGUAAAGAGCGCGCAGGCGGUCGUUCAAGUCGCGUGUGAAAGCCCCCGGCUCAACUGGGGAGGGUCACGCGAUACUGAUCGACUCGAAGGCAGGAGAGGGUAGUGGAAUUCCCGGUGUAGUGGUGAAAUGCGUAGAUAUCGGGAGGAACACCAGUGGCGAAGGCGACUACCUGGCCUGUUUCUUGACGCUGAGGCGCGAAAGCUAGGGGAGCAAACGGG
rnacentral:rRNA from 1 species